GUGGGGAAUUUUGGACAAUGGGCGCAAGCCUGAUCCAGCAAUGCCGCGUGCAGGAAGAAGGCCUUCGGGUUGUAAACUGCUUUUGUACGGAACGAAACGGUCCGGGUUAAUACCCUGGGCUAAUGACGGUACCGUAAGAAUAAGCACCGGCUAACUACGUGCCAGCAGCCGCGGUAAUACGUAGGGUGCAAGCGUUAAUCGGAAUUACUGGGCGUAAAGCGUGCGCAGGCGGUUUUGUAAGACAGGCGUGAAAUCCCCGGGCUCAACCUGGGAAUUGCGCUUGUGACUGCAAGGCUGGAGUGCGGCGGAGGGGAUGGAAUUCCGCGUGUAGCAGUGAAAUGCGUAGAUAUGCGGAGGAACACCGAUGGCGAAGGCAAUCCCCUGGGCCUGCACUGACGCUCAUGCACGAAAGCGUGGGGAGCAAACAGGAUUAGAAACCCUGGUAGUCC
rnacentral:rRNA from 1 species